GUCUGUGGCCAUGCCACCCUGAACAUGCUGGAUGUUGUCUCAUCUCAGAGGCUGAGCAGGGCCCGGCCUGGUUAGUACUUGGGUGGGAGAAAGUUCAUGCUGUGGGAG
rnacentral:rRNA from 1 species